AAACGCUGAAGGCAUCUAAGCGUGAAGCCCCCCUUAAGAUGAGAUAUCCCAUUCGUAAAGAAGUAAACCCCCUUGAAGACGACGAGGUAGAUAGGGCAGAGGUGGAAGUGCAGUAAUGCAUGGAGCUGACUGUUACUAAUCGGGUGAGGGCUUGACCAAG
rnacentral:rRNA from 1 species